AGCAUGCGGAUUAAUUCGAUGCAACGCGAAGAACCUUUACCAAGGCUUGACAUGCACGGAAACCGCCAGAGAUGGUGGCUCCGUAAGGCUGGUGCACAGGUGGUGCAUGGUUGUCGUCAGCUCGUGUCGUGAGAUGUUGGGUUAAGUCCCGCAACGAGCGCAACCCUCGUCCCAUGUUGCCAGCGGGUGAUGCCGGGGACUCAUGGGAGACUGCCGGGGUCAACUCGGAGGAAGUGGGGAUGACGUCAAAUCAUCAUGCCCCUUAUGUCUUGGGCUUCACGCAUGCUACAAUGGCCGGUACAGAGGGUUGCGAUGCCGUGAGGCGGAGCGAAUCCCAAAAAGCCGGUCUCAGUUCGGAUUGGGGUCUGCAACUCGACCCCAUGAAGUCGGAGUCGCUAGUAAUCGCAGAUCAGCAACGCUGCGGUGAAUACGUUCCCGGGCCUU
rnacentral:rRNA from 1 species